ensembl:misc_RNA Metazoa_SRP Metazoan signal recognition particle RNA
GCUGGGCAUGGUGGCACAUGCCUGUAAUCCCAGCUACUUGGGAGGCUGAGGCAGGAGAAUUGCUUGAACCCAGGAGGUGGAGUGGGCAGCGAGUCGAGAUGGCACCACUGCACUCCAGCCUGGGUUACAGAGUGAGACCCUGUCUCAA